rnacentral:rRNA from 1 species
GGCGCACGGUGGAUGCCUUGGCACUAGGAGCCGAUGAAGGACGGGACUAACACCGAUAUGCUUUGGGGAGCUGUACGUAAGCUAUGAUCCAGAGAUUUCCGAAUGGGGGAACCCAACAUCUUUAAUAGGAUGUUACGAUUGUGUGAAUACAUAGCACAUUCGAGGUAGACGCAGAGAACUGAAACAUCUAAGUACCUGCAGGAAGAGAAAGAAAAUUCGAUUCCCUGAGUAGCGGCGAGCGAAACGGGAAAAGCCCAAACCAGCAAGCUUGCUUGUUGGGGUUGUAGGACUCCAAUAUGGUAGUUCUUUCAGAUAGUCGAAUGACUUGGAAAAGUCAGUCAAAGAGGGUAAAAACCCCGUAGACGAAAUGUGGAAGACACCUAGGAGGAUCCUGAGUACGGCGGAACACGAGAAAUUCCGUCGGAAUCCGGGAGGACCAUCUCCCAAGGCUAAAUACUCCCUAGUGACCGAUAGUGAACCAGUACCGUGAGGGAAAGGUGAAAAGCACCCCGGAAGGGGAGUGAAAUAGAACCUGAAACCGUGUGCCUACAACAAGUCAAAGCCCGUUAAUGGGUGAUGGCGUGCCUUUUGUAGAAUGAACCGGCGAGUUACGAUUGCAUGCGAGGUUAAGUUGAAGAGACGGAGCCGCAGCGAAAGCGAGUCUGAAUAGGGCGUUUGAGUAUGUAGUCGUAGACCCGAAACCAUGUGAUCUACCCAUGUCCAGGUUGAAGGUGCGGUAAAACGCACUGGAGGACCGAACCCACGUACGUUGAAAAGUGCGGGGAUGAGGUGUGGGUAGCGGAGAAAUUCCAAACGAACUUGGAGAUAGCUGGUUCUCUCCGAAAUAGCUUUAGGGCUAGCCUCGGAAUUGAGAAUGAUGGAGGUAGAGCACUGUUUGGACUAGGGGCCCAUCUCGGGUUACCGAAUUCAGAUAAACUCCGAAUGCCAUUCAUUCAUAUCCGGGAGUCAGACUGUGAGUGAUAAGAUCCAUAGUCGAAAGGGAAACAGCCCAGACCACCAGCUAAGGUCCCAAAAUAUAUGUUAAGUGGAAAAGGAUGUGGGGUUGCACAGACAACUAGGAUGUUGGCUUAGAAGCAGCCACCAUUUAAAGAGUGCGUAAUAGCUCACUAGUCGAGUGACCCUGCGCCGAAAAUGUACCGGGGCUAAACAUAUUACCGAAGCUGUGGAGUACACCUUUAGGUGUAUUGGUAGGAGAGCGUUCUAAGGGCGUCGAAGGCAGAUCGUGAGGACUGCUGGAGCGCUUAGAAGUGAGAAUGCCGGUAUGAGUAGCGAAAGACAGGUGAGAAUCCUGUCCACCGAAUGACUAAGGUUUCCUGGGGAAGGCUCGUCCGCCCAGGGUUAGUCGGGACCUAAGCCGAGGCCGACAGGCGUAGGCGAUGGAUAACAGGUUGAUAUUCCUGUACCCGUUGUUUUUGUUUGAGCAAUGGAGGGACGCAGGAGGCUAAGGAAUGCAGACGAUCGGAAAUGUCUGUCCAAGCAGUAAGUCUGAAGAGGAGUCAAAUGCUUCUUUUCUUAAGGACAAGCUGUGAUGGGGAGGGAAAUAAUAGUACCGAAGUUCCUGAUGUCACACUGCCGAGAAAAGCUUCUAGUGAGAAAACAGCGGCCCGUACCGCAAACCGACACAGGUAGUCGAGGAGAGAAUCCUAAGGUGAGCGAGAGAACUCUCGUUAAGGAACUCGGCAAAAUGACCCCGUAACUUCGGGAGAAGGGGUGCUGAUCAUACGAUCAGCCGCAGUGAAUAGGCCCAAGCGACUGUUUAUCAAAAACACAGGUCUCUGCAAAAUCGUAAGAUGAAGUAUAGGGGCUGACGCCUGCCCGGUGCUGGAAGGUUAAGAGGAGUGCUUAGCGCAAGCGAAGGUACGAAUUGAAGCCCCAGUAAACGGCGGCCGUAACUAUAACGGUCCUAAGGUAGCGAAAUUCCUUGUCGGGUAAGUUCCGACCCGCACGAAAGGCGUAACGAUUUGGGCACUGUCUCAACGAGAGACUCGGUGAAAUUUUAGUACCUGUGAAGAUGCAGGUUACCCGCGACAGGACGGAAAGACCCCAUGGAGCUUUACUGUAGUUUGAUAUUGAGUGUCUGUACCGCAUGUACAGGAUAGGUAGGAGCCGUAGAAAUCGGAACGCUAGUUUCGAUGGAGGCGCUGGUGGGAUACUACCCCUGCGUUAUGGCCACUCUAACCCGCACCACUAAUCGUGGUGGGAGACAGUGUCAGAUGGGCAGUUUGACUGGGGGCGGUCGCCUCCUAAAAGGUAACGGAGGCGCCCAAAGGUUCCCUCAGAAUGGUUGGAAAUCAUUCGAAGAGUGUAAAGGCAGAAGGGAGCUUGACUGCGAGACCAACAAGUCGAGCAGGGACGAAAGUCGGGCUUAGUGAUCCGGUGGUUCCGCAUGGAAGGGCCAUCGCUCAACGGAUAAAAGCUACCCUGGGGAUAACAGGCUUAUCUCCCCCAAGAGUCCACAUCGACGGGGAGGUUUGGCACCUCGAUGUCGGCUCGUCGCAUCCUGGGGCUGUAGUCGGUCCCAAGGGUUGGGCUGUUCGCCCAUUAAAGCGGCACGCGAGCUGGGUUCAGAACGUCGUGAGACAGUUCGGUCCCUAUCCGUCGCGGGCGUUGGAAAUUUGAGAGGAGCUGUCCUUAGUACGAGAGGACCGGGAUGGACUUACCGCUGGUGUACCAGUUGUUCUGCCAAGGGCAUUGCUGGGUAGCUAUGUAGGGAAGGGAUAAACGCUGAAAGCAUCUAAGUGUGAAGCCCACCUCAAGAUGAGAUUUCCCAUUUCUUUAAGAAAGUAAGAUCCCUGAGAGAUGAUCAGGUAGAUAGGUCAGGAGUGGAAGUACAGUGAUGUAUGGAGCGGACUGAU